UUUUGGAGCUGUAUGGGAAGCACCGGGGUCGGGGCUGAAAGGCCGCCUUCUCCUGCCGGCUAACGGUGUGGGUGACAGCCCGCACAUUCAAAUGAGGCGGCGAUGAGACCGCGCUGGCUUCUGAAGAUGGAUUUCUCGAGACUUUUAUGCUAGUGUGAGGGCCAGCAGGUGCACAUUUGAAGCUCACUGGGACGUGUUUUCCAAGCAACAGGAGACAGCAGAUGCAGACAGGGCCCAAUUACUGCUGCUCACGACUGAUCACGCCAUGCACUCAUAUACGGAUACGUAGCUCCUGGUCUCAGGCACCUAGUAUGGGGCGGUGCACACGGAAACAAUCGUGCAUUCCUGAGAAGAUGGCUGAAACCAAGGAGGCAUUCAGAGACCACAGACCCAGCUGACUGGUUCCUGCUGACAUCCAGUCCACGAUGUUUGUCACGUCAACUCCUCUUCAAAUUCAUGAUGCAAAUCAAUAGCUAAACAUGUUGAUAUCUUUUGUUUCUCUCAGCUGGAUUGAUCCCGGAGUCCUCCUGGUGCAGUGGAAAGAUUUGGGUUUUGCAGCCAAA